rnacentral:rRNA from 1 species
UACGGAGGGUGCAAGCGUUAAUCGGAAUUACUGGGCGUAAAGCGCACGCAGGUGGCUGAGAAAGUCGAUUGUGAAAGCCCUGGGCUUAACCUGGGAAUUGCAGUCGAAACUACUCGGCUAGAGUAUGGGAGAGGACAGUGGAAUUCCCGGUGUAGCGGUGAAAUGCGUAGAUAUCUGGAGGAACACCGGUGGCGAAGGCGGCAUCCUGGACCGGCAUUGACGCUGAGGCGCGAAAGCCAGGGGAGCAAACGGG